CACAGAGACCUGUAGUGUCUCCACUAACUCGGCUCCUCUAACUGGCUACACUGAUGUCUUGGUAGAGGUCUCUGAAUUUGUCCUACUCAGCACAUCUAGAUUCCUGGUCUGGUGUCAAGGCAGAGGCCACUCUGAGGCUAGUGGAUUAUCACGUGUAGUUUACAGACCUUGUGUGAAGGCCUAGACUUGUUGCCUCAGUCUGAGCACCUCUGUAGCAAGUGCAGACACUGAAGGGAGAACGCUGGCCAGCUGAGCCCUCCAGAUUGGAAGGCUAAUUAGAGACGGGGUUCAGCUGAAGGAAGAUAGCAAAAGCCUUGCAGCUGACUAUUCCAAGGCAAGAGACCUGUGAUACUAACUCCAUCCCCAGAGAGAGGGCUGCGGGGGAGCGCCUGUUUGGAGGAGGGAGGUAUUGGUAAGGAAGGAGGGAGUUGUCAGGGCUUGAUGUCGAUCCAGGAGACGGAAGUGACGGAGAGCUUGGGUGACAGAGCGAGUCGUAGAUGAAGUGGUUGGCUCUGGUUCAGCUUGAGAAGUUAAUUGCGUAGGCUCGUCUGCUGCUGGUUGUUUUUCCUUGAAAAACAUGGUGAUCAGCAACUGUCGCUGUUGUCACUUGAGCUACUCAAACAUUUCUUGAUAUGGUCUCAAAUAGUCUGUAACACGACAUGUGAUUUUGAGGCUUCAUUCCAUAGAGGGAUCGUAUUCAGAAAUUAAAUCAUUCAAGCGUUUUGCUGCUUGGAACACUUCAGCAAAUUUAUGAAGAUUCCAACUUGCUGGCUCUUCCUGUUUGUCAUCAUCACCUUCGUCUUCUGUAGACAAUUUUAUCAGUUCCUCUAACUCCUCGUUAGUCAGUGUUUCUCUACGGCUCUCAAUUAAUUCAUCAAUUUCUUCCUCAAGGAUGUCGAUGAAGCCAUCACCGCCCACUUGCCUGGCCACCUGAA